GGAGUUUGGUCCGUGUCUCAGUACCAAUGUGGGGGACCUUCCUCUCAGAACCCCUACUGAUCGUAGCCUUGGUGAGCCGUUACCUCCCCAACUGCCUAAUCCCAUCUGGGCGCAUCUGCUCGCGUGCGGCCUUGCGGUCCCGCACUUUCCCCUCUCGGGCUUACGCGGUAUUAUCGGAACUUUCGCUCCGCUAUCCCCCUCAAGCAGGCAGCUUCCCAGACAUUACUCACCCGUCCGCCACUAAACUAAAGGAAUCACUCCGAAAAGAUCUUCCAGUAGUCCCGUUCGACUUGCAUGUGUUAGGCACGCCGCCAGCGUUCAUC
rnacentral:rRNA from 1 species